rnacentral:lncRNA from 1 species
UUUAGAUAAAUUAUACCCACAUAUAAUAACCAAAACAGACUGGUGGUUUACAACACCAUGCAAACAAAAAGUAAGAGCAAAAAGAGUUAAUAAUAAAAUAAGAAAGAAAACUGAUUGGAUAAAAGGAAGUGAAAAAAUUACACAAAAGUUAGAAAAUAUAAACAAUACUGAAGAUACAGUAGAACUAGUAGUAUUUUCGAUAAAUAAAACAGAAAUAACUAUAUUUUCAAUAAAUAAAAUAGAAAUAAUUCAGAAAAAAUUAGAACAAUUAUAUAGUGAAGAUCCAUUAAAAGGAUGGGAAAAACACAAAACUACUAUAAAAAUUGAAUUAAUAGAUAAGAAUAGCAUAAUAACACAAAAACCAUUAACAUAUAAUUUUGAUGAUUUAAAAGAAUUUAAAAUGCACAUAGAUGAAUUAUUAGAAAAACAAUAUAUACAAAAAAGUAAUAGUAAACAUAAUAGUCCAGCAUUUAUAGUAAAUAAACAUAGUGAACAAAAAAGAGGAAAAAGUAGGAUGGUUAUUGACUAUAGAAAUUUAAAUGCAAAAACUAUAACAUAUAAUUACCCAAUACCCAAUAAGAUAUUAAAAAUAAGACAAAUCCAAGGAUAUAAUUAUUUUAGCAAAUUUGAUUGUAAAUCAGGAUUUUACCACCUAAAGCUAGAAGAAGAAUCUAAAGAAUUAACCGCAUUUACGGUACCACAAGGAUUUUAUGAAUGGAACGUGUUACCAUUUGGAUAUAAAAAUGCACCAGGUAGAUAUCAACAUUUUAUGGAUAAUUAUUUUAAACAAUUAUCUAAUUGUAUAGUAUACAUAGAUGAUAUAUUAUUAUAUACAAAAACCAAAGAAGAACAUUUAAAAUUAUUAGAACAAUUCACAGAUAUAAUAGAAAAAUCAGGAAUAAGUCUAAGCAAAAAGAAAGCUGAAAUUAUGAAAAACCAGAUAGAAUUUUUAGGAAUACAAAUAGAUAAAAGUGGAGUAAAAAUGCAACAACAUAUAGUACAAAAAAUAAUAAAUUCGAAAGAAGAAUUAGAUACAAAAAAGAAAUUACAAUCAUUUUUAGGAUUAGUAAACCAAGUAAGAGAAUAUAUUCCAAAAUUAGCAGAAACCUUAAAACCACUGCAGAAAAAAUUAAAAAAGGAUAUAGAAUAUAAUUAUGAUGAAAAAGAUAAAAAACAAGUUCAAAAAAUAAAAUUACUUUGUAGAGAAUUACCAAAAUUGCAAUUUCCAGAUGAAAAUAGAAAAUUUAUAUAUAUAGUAGAAGCAGAUGCAAGUGAAUAUAGUUACGGAGGAGUACUUAAAUAUCGAUAUGAAGCAGAAAAAAUAGAACACCAUUGUAGAUACUACUCAGGUACGUUCAACGAGACAGAAAUAAAAUGGGAAAUAAAUAGGAAAGAAUUAUGUUCAUUAUAUAAAUGUUUAUUAGCAUUUGAGCCAUAUAUUGUAUAUAACAAAUUUAUUGUACGAACAGAUAAUACACAGGUACGCUGGUGGCUAACAAAGAAAAUACAAAAUUCAGUUACAACAAAAGAGAUUCGAAGACUAGUUUUAAAUAUAUUAAAUUUCACAUUUACAAUUGAAGUGAUCAGUACUAACAAAAAUGUUAUUGCAGAUUACAUAUCAAGACAAAGCUACACAGACUGAAAUAGUAGAGGAAGAUACUCUAGAAAAAAUACUUAACACCCUAACUACGCUUUCAAUGAAAGUGGACAGUAUGGGUAAUGAGAUAGAAAAGCUAAAGACUAAUGAAGAUAAACUGAAGUCUAUAGCUACAAAUCAGCUAACUCAGCAGUGUGCAGAGCUAUGUCGACCGGAAGACAUUAAAAAUCCAGAGCUAGAAGGAGACGUUGGGACACUCCAUAAAACCCAUAACAUUUAUCAAUCUACUUCUGCAGGUACAAGCAAAGGAGUUAAUAGACCAAGAUACCAGAAUGUAAAUAUGAACAAAAUAUUUGAAAAACCAUUUACCCCAAAAGCACAAAAAGACCAUUUAUUCAUACCCCCACAAGUUAACACAUACCGAGACAGCCUAAACCAAGACAAGAAAAUAUACAACUACACAGCCCAAAAAUACAUAGAAAAUAUAUAUAGAGUCCAAACCUUUCUAAACCAUAACCCCAGAGCUACAAAUAUCCAAGAACCAAAUACCAAUUAUAUAACCCAAAAACUACAAGGAUACAAUAAACUGAUAGCACUACCCAAAACUAACCCAAGCCUAGUUAAAACUUGUUUUGACUAUGGACUACUAAAUACCAUAUACACCCAAGACGGAGAAGAGCUAACAGCCAUGGAAGAAUUAUAUAAGAUAUUCACUACCUAUAAAAGAAUAACAAAAGGAACUUUAUUUUAUAUAAAAUGUUAUACUGCACCAGCAGAGAUAUUAUAUGAUGAGAUAAAACCAGUGAUACAAGUUGUAAAGAUAGGACUGACAAGAGACAUGAUUAUACCAAAAUAUAUGAAGCAUUUAGUAUUUUUAAAAGAAUAACCAAAGGUACCCUAUUUUUUAUAAAAAUUUACACGGCACCAGCAGAGAUAUUAUAUGAUGAAGUUAAAAAAUCUAUAGAAGUUGUAAAGAUAGGAAUGAAAUGAGAUAUGAUUAUACCAUAAAAUAUUAUUCCACAACCAGAAAUACCUAAAAUUGAGAUACCAAAAUUUUAUGCGAAUAAGAGGAUUAUCGGACUAUCUACAAUUUUGCAAGAGCUAGCAAACACAUACCGUAACCAAAAUCUCAUAUGGAGUUAUUAUUCAAAAGAAAUCAUUACUAAUAUAUUCAAAUUCAAAGGAAUUACGAGAAACAGAUAUGGAAACUAUUAGGCAAUGGAUUCUGACGUUGCUCAAACCAGAGACGGAACCUAUCGCCAGAGCUAUUAGAGAAAUUUUUUUUUCAGAAGAAUUAUUAACCGGAUAUUUCAAGACAAUUGGACAUAAAUAUCCAGAUCAUAAAUGUUUAAAAUGUAAUUGAGAAGAUAAUGAUAUCCCAGAAGUUCAGCUAGAAUAGAAGAAAAAUCAACCAAGAAGAUAAGAACGCCAGCUGGAAAAUACAAGAUAAGAAGCAAUAAUGAAGAUAUGAAAAAGCAGCAGAUACGACAGCGAGAAGAUAUCAACGGAUUAAUAAUAGAAGACAAGCUAUUAAAUUGUGAAAGCGACAUGUAAACUUUCACAAUUUGCUUUACGUAAAUUAUUGAAACCUUUUGUAUAGGCUUUUGACUAUUAUUAAUCUAGGCAUUAAUAAUUUUUGUCUAAUUAGGAGACUUUUUGUAAAGUAGACAAGGUAGAUGAUUUUAGAAACGUGAAUACUCUUGUAAAGUUUCAGUCUAUAAAUAAGAUGAACCGAAGAAAUUGCAAAGCAAGCCUUCAUGUGUUGAAGCAAAAAACUCUCUCUUGCCCACAACAAAUAUUUUGCUUAAUUAUUAAAAAACAGAUAUAUUUCAAUGGAAAAAGCUAUGGAGGAACAAACCUUAGAAAUAUCAAACCUACCCGAACAGGUAUAUUUAUUUAUGAUUAUGAAUAACUAAAUUCAUAAUUCCCAACAAUCNNNNNNNNNNNNNNNNNNNNNNNNNNNNNNNNNNNNNNNNNNNNNNNNNNNNNNNNNNNNNNNNNNNNNNNNNNNNNNNNNNNNNNNNNNNNNNNNNNNNNNNNNNNNNNNNNNNNNNNNNNNNNNNNNNNNNNNNNNNNNNNNNNNNNNNNNNNNNNNNNNNNNNNNNNNNNNNNNNNNNNNNUAUCCAGAUUACCAUGCUAAUAGUGACCGAAGAACAUGUUAUUUAAGAAUAAUCUAGUAUAUAGUAAUCUAAGAUGACCAUAUUUUGUUAUGUACAUGAUUGAAGGGAAUAUUUUGAAAACAGCAUUAUUUAUCUGAUGUGAUGGUAGAUAAAUUUAAAAUACUUAUUUUAUAUGUGAUUAAGGAUAUAGGAAUAAUAGAUAUAAGGAAAAUCAUAUUAGUAAAAAUAUUCGGUAAAGAUUAUAUAGCUAGAAUAAAUUGCAUACCAUACUUACCUAAUUACUCUUAUAAAUACCUAUAUACACAUUAACUAUGAGAAACUAUGUAUAUUUAGAAUUUUGGAAAAUAGAUAUAAAAUAUACAAUUUCUCAGUAAAAAUAUAAAAGAGUUAAUAAGAUUAAAACAAAAAACUACAAAAUAUUAUAAUAAAAUAUUUAGUCAAUUUUAAAUGAUAGAUAAUCUUAAAGUCUUAAUCUUAUAUAUAUACUUAGAGAUAUAGAAAUUAUAGAUAUUAAUGGAAUAAUAUUAGAAAAAGUAUUAGACUAUGAAAUUGAAACUAUAAAUUGGAUAGCACAGUUAUACUUGGAUAAUUACCCAGAUGAAUAUUAUUCAGAUUAAGAGAUGUUAGAAUAUAUUAGAAAAACUAAAGAAAAUCAAGAUAAUCUAAAUAAAGAUAUGAAUAUCGAUAAAACUAACAUAAAUAGACUUAAAAUAAAAAUAUUUAGAGAAGUUAAGAAAUAUCCACGCAUAUAAUGAAUCUAUUUUACAAGUUAUCCGCACCUCUUACAAAUCACCCCUUGCUUAGUAUAUAUUGAAGCAAUUCUAUUUCUUGCUUUCCUUGCCUUCAAAUGAGCGAAGAAAUAUUUGGAGUCUCCAUCACCAUGUUUAAUCUAGGUGGCUCUGGAUUUUUGCUUCAUCACUCUUUCAUGUACCUCCUCCCUUUUCUCUAGCUCUUGCAGUAACAUCCUUUUUUUGAGUGAUCAGUGGCUGGUUGAAAGAGUCAAUAUUCAUUUCCUGUUGGACAUCUUGCAGUGGAGUUCUGAACUUGUUCAAUUUUUGCUCAAUAGUAGAAUAUUAUUGAUUCAACUCCAUUGGGUUUUGGGCUAAUAUAUGUAGUUUCCUCCAGAUUUUAUAGAUUACAUGCCCUUGUAUUUGCAUACCCCAUAUAUCUUGCACCAUACCUUUGAACUUCUCCUACUGAAGCAUUAAAUUAAGUAAUCUAAAUGGUUUUCUUAAAUCUGAAUGUUGGGUUUUAGUUGUUAGCAAUACUGAUGAGUGAUCAGAACAACCCGGUUCAACAUAUUCUAACUCUAUGUAAGUGUAUUAUUGGUACCAAUGUUUUUUACCAAACACCCAGUUAAUGUGUGAAUAAAUUCUGGCCGCUCCAUCUCUUUUAUUACACAAAUUCAUAUUUCUCCCCCUGCACAAAAUUUUUCCCAUAUAUAUAUCUCAUCUAAGCAGUCUUGAAAAUCUUUAGUUUCUUAGGGUAUGGCCAGCUCUCCAUUCUGUCUGUCGGAGUGCAAUAAUACUGCAUUGAAAUCCCCUAGCAUAAUCCAAGGUUCAUUACAUUUCAUGGCUAAAGAUUUUAGGUGACCCCACAAACUCAUUCUUUCAACCAUAGUAUUAUAUCCACAUAUAAAUGUCAUGUUGUUAUAAAAGGAAGUGUAUAUAUCUUCAACUUUGCAUUGUAUUAAUUGUGCUGCAGUAGCUAUCACUGUAACCUUGACCUUAUUCCCCUUCCACAUUAGCCAUAUCCUACCAUUCAAUGUAGUAGGGUAAUCUGUAAAUAUAUUCAAAUCCUUGCCAAAUACUUUCUUUAUUUUAUUAGCAUUGUGAGCCUGUAUUUUUGUUUCCAGCAGACUUGUUAUAUCCACCUUAUACUUUUGCAUAAAGGUUUUUAGUUCCUUCUUCUUAAAGGGCUUAUUCAUCUCUCUAAUGUUCCAGGCACUUAUUAUCAUUUAGAAACACCUAAAUCAGGUGCUUUAGCCUUGUUUAGUGCUACAGUUUGAUCCCCUGAUGUAGCUCCCUUUGUUACCUUGUCUCCUUCUGGAUUUGCUGACUCUCCAGUAGGCUGUGCAGAGCUCUUACUAGUGUUACAACUUUCCUUAUUAUUCUGCAAUGUAGUCUCAUUUGUAGUGGUAUUUUGAGGUAGCCAUAUAGGUAUGAAUCUUCAUUUUCUGGGAGCUUGAGGUCUGUGCAUCUCUAGUUCUUUUCUUUGUUUAUUCUUUUCUUUUUGCAGUCCCCUUGUUCAUGGUCCCACUUCCCACAAUCAGUGCAUGCUAUCGGACGCCAUUCAUAGUUUACUUGUUGAAUUCAUAUUGAACCUUUCUCUUCUAGAUAGAUUUCUAUGGGUAGAUCUUGCGUUACAUCCACUUCUAUAAGGAAUCUCACAAAUAAGAUACAUUCAACCUCUACAAUUAAUCAAUCAACACAUAUUGGCUUCCCAAUUGUGCUAGCAAUUCUACUCAAAUUCUCCUCUGACCAAUAAUAGACUGGAAGACCUGGCAGUGUAACCCAAAGAGGAAUAAUUCACAGCAUCUCAGGAGUAAAUUAAAAGUUUUUCUCCCAAUUCCUCAGAAUCAUCGGUCUAUUAUUAUAUGUAUAAGGGUCAUUCUGCAUAAUUUGGGAUUUAUAUCCACCUGUAUCAAAUAAUAAUAUGAAAUAACCCUCAUCUUGACGAUAAACCCUAGGUACUUCCACAUAAUUCCACACACUAUAUACAAAUUAAAGUAUCUCCUUAAAGCUUGGAUUACCCACCAUUUCAUGUACUAUUAGAGCAUUUUUCCUAUUUGUUUCAUUCAAUUUUCACCUCCGUUGAGCUAAUUUGUACCACUUUUAGGCCAUCUUUCAUCAUAGGGGAAUGUAUGCGAGUUGCAAGCCACUUUGGAUCUGUCAAUUACCUGCAAUCAGAACUUCUUUUGCUGGAGGUGGCAGAGUUACACCCACAGGUGGUUUAAUAAAUCUUUGCUUUUGCACUACAUUUGAGCUUUUUUGGUUCGUCUUCCAAUCGAUCCUUUAAGAUUUUGGCUCUGUCAUCAAGCACUGGAAUCACGGUGUCAAUCUUUUCCUUCCCUAGUAAUAAACUCCCCAAUUUCAAUGGGGCAAGAGUGUGGGGUAAACCAGAUUCAGGUGUUAUCAUUCGUCCUUGUUGUUCUUUUCUAGAAGUCUCCAAGCUUUCCGGCUGCGCCGGUGGAUUUGUCGUUGUCUUCCACAGUCUUGCCAUCACGUCUGGGCGCAAGUUAGCACGCAUUACUUAAUGUGCGCCGAGAGCUCUUUAAAAUGAACUCUGUAUUUUACCCAGCCACUUAUCUCAGUUUUUUAGCCAACCAAGCUAUAUAUUUGUAAUACCCGUACUUUUGACUAACUUGAAAUCAUCUCAAAAAUGUUAGAAGCUUUCUUUAAAAGAUGAAUCCACUUUUGUACAUGUGGUAUUUUUAAUAUUUUCACUUUUUGUCAUCAAGAAAAUUGUAGCUUUCCAACGAUACCAAUUUCAUUAAAAUCCAACAUAGGAGGAGAAAGUUAUGGCCAAAAUACAGAAGGUAGUAAACACCCCCAGGUGCGACGGUGAGGCCGACGGACCGUCGGACUAGCAACGCAGCAUCGCCUAUAACCGUCGCAAGGGAAACAGUGAGGCCACCUUCUGGAUAAAGUGCGACAGGCAAGUUGAUGGACCGUCGAACUGGCAACGGACCGUCGCUCAAGACGUCGUUACUUAGGCAUUAAGCCCUUUUCUUGGUCCACGUACGAUGGUCGAAAUGACGGACCGUCGCCCUAGCGAUGGACCAUCACACGAGCUGUCGCAGGUCCUGAUUCAGCAAAUUAAAGCCAUUUUAAAAGGGUUUUGGUCUUUUACCACCCAUUAAUAAACCUAAUUAAAUCCGUCCAAAGCUCAAAAAUUCAUUAUUUUUUCACAACAACAAAACUAGGGUUUUUUCUCUAACAUUAAUCUCCAGGAAUAAAAUCCAAAUCUUCUUCAAGAACUAAGAGAUUCAAAUUCUUCAAGUUCAAGAAUUUCAAGAAACACAACUCAGGUAUGCUUAGUGUUCAUUCAUGGACUCCUUCCAUCCAUAAAGCCCAAGAAUGUCUUUUCAAAGUUAAAGUUUAUAGAUUUCGUUUAUGAAUUUCAUGACUAGGCUGCUCUUGUUCAUGUUGAUAAUGAGCAAUUGAAUUUUAUUCCAUGUUGGGGGAUAAAUUUUAUGUGGAUUUGAUUAAUAUAGAUGUAGAUUCAUGUAAACCUAUUAUUAAACCUUUGAAUGAUGAAAUUAGAAUUGAAUCAUGAUAUUUAAUUGUUGUAUAAUGUUGUUUACACAUACUAUGCCUACCAUGUAUUUUUUUAAAUGCCUAGAUGAAUGAAAAUGCCCAACUAGCAGGAUAUCAUGAAAUCCCCAUGUAUGUACAAGUUUAUGCAAAUCACAUGUUUGAUGAAAUGUUUCAAUAAAUGUAUUAUGGAUUAUGAUGUUAGUGAUGUGUUCAAGUAGGUCAUGCUUUGUCAGUUUCCUUCUAACGAGUUCUGGUGGUACUUGUACCCGAAAUAUUAGCUGUGUACCUAGAUCAAUGUCAUGUUUCCAUGAUACUCUUAGUCAAGCUAUGAUCCUUAGACUUCAGAUAGUCUUAUGACUCAGGAAAUCUCCAUGAUCUUAUGAACUCAGUCAGUUGUUAGAUGUCAGUAGUAUUUGGUAAGUUAACGAAAGUCAAUAAGCCAGUCCAUGUUCAGUUCAGUAAAUCAUGUUCAGUGUCUAUUUAGAUGGGAGUAGAAAUUAACACAGACUAAACCCAAGGGUGGGAACUCACCUUUUAUAUGAGGGUGUGAUUCUUAGAAGCAAUCCUUGCAUUCCAGAACUAUGUAGCCAGCAUAGGUUGGGACAUCAUAGCCUACUAUAUGAGGGUAUAUGAGGUGGCUUAACCUGCUAUAUGAGGGUUCCCACCGUUCUUACUAGAGUUACCUAUUAUAUUAAGGUCACUCACAUGUUGUCCUUACCAGUGGCGCGGUAUUGAUACCCUUCCAAUCAGGGCAUAGAUUGGACCCCAAUUUAGCUAUAAUGCAUUAUUUGGGGCAUGUCGGUUAGAUAACUACCUCUCACAGUCUCAGUAUCAGUCUUAGUAAAAGAACUUAGAUAGUUCUUCAGAAUUUCGGACUAUUAGAUACAAUACGAAACUCAGUUGUUCCAUCAGAUUCAAAACUAUCAGAUACAGUCACCCAUGUUAUCAGUUAUCAUAAUUCAGUCAUUAGUCAUGUUAGUCAUCAGUAUAAUUAUGUUAUCAUGAUUUCAGAUAUAGUUACUAUGUAUGCAUGCAUGUAUUCUUAUGUUCAUAUUAGUCAGUUAGCCAGUAUUGUUUAUGCAUAUAAACACCAUGCAUUCAGCCUACGUUACAUGUAUACUAGUACAUUCAAAGUACUGACACAUUUGCGCUAUGGUGUCUUAUACCAUAAGUUCAGAGACACGAGCUCCAGAGCAUCAGUAGGUUCCAGAUAUCAGCAAGUCAGAGUUAGCAGUGAGUCCUCAUCCUUCGAGGACAUGAUUAUUUAUCUAUUAUCUCAUCAAUUAGUUUAUUAGUUGGAGUUUAUUGGGGACAUGUCCCAUCAACUCGUUACUCAGACAGUUUAGUCAUUUAGAGGCUUUCUAGACUAUUAUAUUCAGACAGAUAUUUCAGUUGUUUUGGGUAUUUCAUACCCCAUUUAGAUGUUAUGUUUUACUUCAGUUAUGUGAACCUUAUUGCCUUUCAAUUUAUGUUUCUAUAUUAUUCAGUACAUUAUGCAGUAUAAAGGUAUAGAUAUCAGUCAUGGGCUAGCUUGUGGUCCUUCGGGGUCAUGAACACCGUGUAGCAUUCCAGAUAUCAGAUUUGGGGUGUUAUAAACUUGGUAUCAGAGCCUAAGGUUCAAUAGAGUCCUAGGAAGUCUGAAAGCCGUAUCUAGUAGAUUCUUGUACAUGGGUGAGUUAAGCGCCACAUUUAUGUACAGGAGGCUAUGAGAUGUUUUAGGAAUAGUUUUCCCUCUUUUAGUAUUCAUGUUGUGCUAGUGAGCGUAAUUUCAAUCUAAUCUCUCAGUCUAAUCUAUUUCUUCUCCUUAUUUUAGAACAUGCCUCUCAAGAGAAGAACUCAGCCUGUCCAAGAAGAUUCCUUAGACGAACAUGUUUCUUAUCCAGAGUUCAGAGUUGCAUUCACUACUCUUGCUCAGUCAGUUACUGCUCAAAAUAUAUGACUAGUUAUCAUUUCGGCCAACCCAGUGGCCAAUUCAGCUGUAGCCAUGAUUCAGGACUUCACCUAAAUGAAUCCUCCAUCCUUUCUUAGGUCUAAGACAGAAGAGCACCCUCAAGAAUUCCUAAAUCAGGUGCAGAAGGUUACAGACAUAAUAGGGGUUACGUCUAGUAAGAGUGUCGAGCUAGUAGCAUAUCAAUUGCAGGAUGUGGCUCAUACUUGGUUCAAGCAGUGAAAGUUAGAGAGGGCAAACAAUGGAGGGCCAGUUGAGUAGGAGGAGUUUUUUUCAACGUUUCUUGAUAAAUUCUUUCCCCUAGAGCUUAGAAAAGCUAAGGUGCUAGAAUUCAUCAACCUCAGGCAGGGAAAUAUGAUAGUGAAAGAGUAUUCUCUUAAGUUUACUCAAUUAGCCAGAUACUCUCCUCAAGUGGUUGUAGAUAGCAGGGUAAGGAUGAGUAAGUUUAUUUCAGAGGUGAACGAUAGCGUGGUUAAUGAGUGCAGAUCCGCCAUGUUGAAUAGCAACAUGACUUUAGCUAGGAUCAUGAAUCAUACUCAGCAGAUAGAGGAGCAGAAGAUUAAGAUGAGGGAGAAAGUUAUGGAAAAAUACAAAAAGCAGUAAAAACUGCCCAGGUGCGACGGUGAGGUCGACGAACUAUCGGACUAGCGACAGACCGUCGCCCACGACCGUUGCAUAGAAAACAGUGAGGCCAUCUUCAGGAUAAAGUGUGACGAGCAAGUUGAUGGACCGUCAAACUUGCGAUAGACCAUCACUACUUAGGUAGUAAGUCCUUUUCUUGGUCUACGUAGGACAGUCGAAACGAUGGACCAUUGCACGUGAUGUCGCAGGUCCUAAUUCAGCAAAUUAAAGCCAUUUUAAAAGGGGCUUUCUGGUCUUUGACCACCCGUUUAAAUACCCAAUUAUAUCCAAUCAAAGCUCAGAAAUUCAUUAUUCUUUCACAACAACAAAACUAGAAUUUUUUCUCUAAUAUUAAUCUCCAAGAACAAAAUCAAAUCUUUUUCAAGAACUAAGAGAUUCAAAUUCUUCAAGUUCAAGAAUUUUAAGAAACUCAACCCAGGUAUGCAUAGUGUUCAUUCAUGGACUUCUUCCAUCCAUGAAACCCAAAAAUCUCUUUUCAAAGUUUAAGUUUAUGGAUUUCCUUUAUGAAUUUUAUGAUUGGGAUGCUCUUGUUCAUGUUUAUAUUGAGUAAUUGAAUUCUAUUCCAUGUUGGGGGAUAAAUUUUAUGUGGAUUUGAUUAGUAUAGAUGCAGAUUCAUAUAGACCUAUAAUUAAACCCUUGAAUGAUGAAAUUAGAAUUGAAUCAUGAUGUUUAAUUGUUCUAUAGUGUUGUUUACACAUACUAUGCCUACCAUGUGUUUGUUUAAAUGCCUAGAUGAAUGAAAAUGCCCAACUAGCAUGAUAUCAUGAAAUCCUCAUGUAUGUACAAGUUUAUGCAGAUCACAUAUUUGAUGAAAUACUUCAAUAAAUGUAUUAUGGAUUAUGAUAUUAGUGAUGUGUUUAAGUAGGUCAUGCUUUGUCAGUUUCCUUCUAAUGAGUCCUGGGGGUACUUGUACUUGAAAUAUUAGUUGUGUUCCUAGAGCAUUGUCAUGUUUCCAUGAUACUCUCAGUCAAGCUAUGAUCCUUAGACUUCAGACAGUCUUAUGACUCAGGAUAUCUUCAUGAUUUCAUGAACUCAGUUAGUUCUCAGAUGUCAGUAGUAUUUUGUCAGUCAACGGAAGUCAGUAACCCAGUCCAUGUUCAGUUCAGUAAAUCAUGUUUAGUGUCUAUUAAGAUGGGAGUAGAAAUUUGCACCGAACGAACCCAAAGGUGGGAACUCACCUAUUAUAUGAGGGUGUGAUUCUUAGAAGCAAUCCUUGCAUUACAGAACUAUGUAUCCAACAUAGGUUGAGACAUCAUAGCCUGCUAUAUGAGGGUAAAUGAGAUGGCUUAACCUGCUAUGUGAGGUUCCUACCGUUUGCAUGUGCAUGAAAACGAACAAACUAGAGGUGGCAAAAUCAAAUUCAAUUCAUCCAAUUUGUUCAAUUCGAUCCAAUUUAUUUAAAUUUGAGUUGGUUAUUGAUCUGCCUAUUUAUUAGUCCAACUUGUUAAAAAUUUUGUUGAUAUAUAACUCAAAUUGAUUUUUGAAAAAUAUUGUUAAAAUAUUUAAGAAAAACCUUUUUUUAUAUGUUAUAUAUAGUCAUAAGAAAGAAAAACAUAAUUUUAUUCAAUAUCAAAAAUAUAUAUAUAAAAUAUAAGUAAAGUGUUAUGAAACAUGGUAGAUAUCUAUGUAUCAAAAUAGGUGCCAUGUGUCAUGCCUAUAGUUAGGCUCUAAGCCAAUUCGAACUCCACCCCUUAGAAUUGGAUAAGUUUUCCUUUUUCCCUUUUGACUAUAAAUAGCCAUGGUUAUUUCUGAGAAGAGGUGAAUAAUAAAAAAAGACAAUUCCUUCGUAUUUCUCUCAUUACAUUGUUACCUUUUUGCUACUUUCAUAAAUAAUUUUAUAUCAUGUUAGCAUUAGUCUUUAUCAUUAUAAUUAAAGACUUUUCAACAAUUGUAAAGGUAAGAAUUUACUUGUCUUAAAAUAAUAUCAAAUAUAUCUAAAGGUGAAUUUAUUUUCCUAGAUAUAUCGGUCAAGACCUACAUAUCUUGGGUACUUGAUGCCAAAAUUCAUUUGGAUGUGAUGGGUCUAGAAGAUACCAUCAAAAAUAAAAAUUGGGCAUUAAAUCAAGACCGUGUCAAGGCCAUGAUAUUUCUCCAUCAUCAUCUUGACGAGGGUUUGAAAAUGGAAUAUCUCACUAUUAAGGAUCUUUUUAUAUUGUGAAAUAACUUAAAAAGAGAUAUGACUAUCUGAAGAUGAUCGUAUUUCUACUGGCACACUAUCAAUGGACCCAUUUGAGAUUACAAGAUUUAAAAAUAUAACUGUAUAUAUUUAUCUUGAAGAAUCUAUGAUACUCCUAAAAUUUUAUUUAAAUUAAUAAUCGAACGUGAUGAUAAUUGUUUAAUUGAUAGUGAAACAACACACAACAUAUUUAAAGUUGGGAAAUACUUUUCAUACUUAGUUAGAAUAAAAGAAACUUACUUAGAAGAAAAUAAAAUGUUACAACAAUCUCUGGUAAUUUGGAACUAAUUAAAGUCUCAAAAUGAGCUACUAUAUUUCUGCGUAAGGGAACAAAACUAGUUAUAGAAGAUGCAUCAUUCUUUUCUAAAUCCCCCAAAACCUUAUUGAGUUUUGAAGAUAUACGCUGAAAUGGAUGUCAUGUUGAGACAAUAAAUGAACUGAAUGUUGAAUAUCUAGGCAUUACUAAGAAUGUCUUAGUCCAAAAACACACGAUGGAGAAAUUACCAAAUUUAUUUUUCGACUUAUACUAUGUAGAAAUUAAUACAGUUGAAGCACAUUCUGUCCUAAACUAGAAGUAAUCAAUCUAAAUACAUUUGUGAUUUGACAUGAUCAAAUAGGUUAUCCUGGCUCAAUAAUGACGAGAAGAAUCAUUAAAAAUUCAAAAGGACACCCGUUAAAGAACCUGAAGAUCCUUACAAGUGAUGAAUUUUCAUGUGCUUCUUGUUAUCAAGGUAAACUAAUAACUAAACCAUCACCACUAAAAGUUGGCAUCGAAUACCCUCUUUUUUCUAGAACAUAUACAUGGUUAUAUAUAUGGACCUAUUCACCUAUUCAGUGGGUCAUCUAGAUAUUUUAUGGUCAUAAUAUAUGCAUUUUCAAGAUGGUCUCAUAUGUGUCACUUAUUAUAACUCAACUUGGAAUUUGUGAAAUUAUUAGCAAAAUAAUAUGAUUAAGGUCGUAAUUCCUAGAUUAUCCUAUUAAGGCUAUUUUCCUCGACAAUGAUGGAGAAUUAACAUCCCAAACUUUUGAUGAUUAGGUAUAUCAAUUGGGACAAGAGUUGAACAUCAUGUGCUCAUGUUCAUACUCAAAAUGGCCUCAUUGAGUCAUUUGUUAAGCACCUAAAAUUGAUAGCAAGGUCACUACUUAUGAAAAUAAAAUUGCCCGCUACUGUUUGGGAUCAUGCUAUCUUGUAUGUAGCAUCACUAGUUUGUCUCAGACCAACUCAUAGUAAUAAGUACACCCCAUCACAAUUGGUCCUUGGUCAUAAGCCAAAUAUUGCUCAUCUAUAAAUUUUGGGAUGUAUUGUAUAUGUGCUAGUUACACUACCAUAGAGCACUAAGAUGAGCCCUUAAAGAAGGUUAGAACAUAUGUUGGGUUCGAGUCACCCUCUAUAAUUCAUAAUUUUGAACCAUUGAAGUGAGAUUUAUUUACUACUCAAUUUACAGAUCGAUUUGACAAAAUGAAUUUUCCAUGAUUAGGGGGAGAGAAACAUGAAAUUAAAAGAGGAAAUUGCAUGAAAAAUUUCAUCAUUAUUUCAUUUGGACACACGUACCCCUAUAUGUAAAAAUAAGGUCCAGAAGAUCAUUCACUUAUAGAAACUAGAAAAGAAAAUUCCAGAUGCAUUUACUGAUUUGAAAGGGAUAACUAAGUCACAUAUCUCUAUAGCGAAUGUUCCUGUUGUUAUACCCGUGCUUUUUCUUAGCUUGAAAAUCCUCUCAAGGAUGUUUGAACUUACUUUGAAAUAAGAAUUCAUUCUUAUACACAUUGUAUUUCCAUAAUUUUCACUUCCUAUCAUGUGAAAAAUUGAAAAAGUUUUCGAUCGAUAUAUAAUUUGCCCAAAUCUGACACUCGGCCGAAGAGUUAGAGCAUUUUUAGUGAGACAGUGUUUGACCUGAGCCUUCAGUGUGUCGCGGAGAUAGCUUAGAUGGAAAUUAUCAAAUUCCAGUGUUUGCUCUGCGAUACUAACGCAUCGCGCCAAACUUCUAAGUCGUAGAAAAGGUGGCAACGCAAUAGCUCUGCGUCGCGCCACCAUGCAAUUUCCAAUUACACGGCACGAUAGCGCCGCGUCGCGCCAAGGGCCCAACUCGGGAAAUUUUACUAAAAAUUUAAUGACGUGUCCAGGUUUAAAAAGGGUCAACUUCCUACCCCUAUAUAAUCCCUUUAACACAUGAUUCAUCCAUUUUUUCACGCAAAACAUAUUAGUUUCUCUCAAGUAUAUCUCAAGAACAAACUAGGGUUUCUAUUGGGGAUUCAAAUUCACCAUCAAUCUUCAUGAAAUCACAAUCUAAGGUUGCAUAGUGUUCAUUCAUGGACUCCUUUCGUCCAUGAGUUCCAAGAAUUCUUUUUAACUACAAGUUAUGGAUUUUCUUCAUGUUUUCAUGCUUUGUAUGUUCUCUUUCAUGUUGAUAAAUGAGGAAUUGAUUUCUAUUCCAUGAUUUAAUGAUAAAUUCCAUGUGGGUUGAUUAGUAUAGAUAAAGAUUCACAAAAUCUCAUGACUAAAACCUUGUAUGAUGAAAUUGUAAUUGAACCAUGAUGUUUAAUUGCUAUACCAUGAUGUUUACAUGUAUUAUGUCUGCCAUAUGUUUGAUUAAAUGCCUAGAUGAAGGAAAUUUGCCUAACUAGCAUGAUAUCAUGAAAAUCCCCAUAAUUGUACAAGCUUAUCCCUUUUAGAAGUUUGAUAAAAUGCUUCAAUAAAUAUAUUAUGGUGAUUAUCAUGUAUUUAAGAAUAUCAAGUCAUGUCGAUUUUCUUCCAUCGAGUCCUGGGGGUACUUGUACCCAAAAUAUGAGUUGUGUGCCAAGAGCCAUGUCAUGUUUUCAGGAUACUCUUAGUCAAGCUGUGAACUCUUAGACUUCAGAUAGUCUUAUGACUCAGGAAAAAUCUCCAUGAUCUAAUGAACUCAUUCAGUUAUCAGAUAUCAGAAGUAUUUCGUCAGUCAAUGGAAUUUAGUAAAUUUAGUCCAUGUUCAGUUCAGUAAAUCAUGAUCAGUGUCUACUCAGAUGGGAGUAGGAAUUAGCACCGAGUGAAACCAAGGAUUGGAACUCACCUGUUAUAUGAGGGUGUGAUUCUUAGAAGUAAUCCUUACGUUCCAGAACUAUGUAGCCAGAAUAGGUUAAGACAUCGUAUCCUGUUAUAUGAGGGUAGAUGAGGUGGCUUAACCUGUUAUAUGAGGGUUUCCACCUUUCUCAUUAGAGUUACUUAUUAUAUGAAGGUUACCCACACGUUGUCCUUACCAGUGGCGCGGUAUUGACACCCUUUCAGUCAUGGUAGAGACUGGACCCCAGCUCAACUAUAAUAGCAUAUAUAGGGCAUGUCGGUUAAAUACUACUUCCCGCAGUUUCAUGUUACAGAAUUAGGACUGUAAGGAACAGGCAACUUAGAUACAGUACGAAACUCAAAUAGUUCCACCAGAUUCAGGACUGUCAAGUACAGUCACCCAUGUUAUCAGUAUUAUUCAGAUACAAUGUUUCAUGUUAUCAGUCAUAUCAGUUAUCAGUUAUGUCAUGUUAUCAGUAUCCAUACUUAAUAGUCAUGCUAUCACGAUAUUAGUAUUAUGUUAUCACAUUGCCAGUUACAGUUACGUAUUCAUGUAUGCAUUCUCACGUUCAUGUUAGACAGCCAGUUAGUAUUAAUCAUGCAUGUGAACCCUUGCAUAUAGCCUACCUCAUAUGCAUACUCAGUACAUAUAUACUGGCGCAUUUGCGCUAGGGUGCUUUCUUUUUAUGUUACACCAUAGGUUCAGAGACACAAGUUCUAGAUUAGUAGUAGAUUCCAGAUUCAGCAGUCAGAGUAGAAGUGAGUCCUCAUCCUUCGAGGACAUAAUGAUUUUCUAGUAUCUCAUUGAUUAGAUUAUUAUUUGGAGUUAGUUGGGGACAUGUCCCAUCAAAUCUUUAUUCAGAUUUUUCAGACAGUAGAGGCUUUCAGACUAGAUGCAGACUAGAUACAGACUAUCUUAUUUUAGACUUCAGUUUUGUUUUAGGUAUUCUAUUACCCCACACAGAUGUUAUGUUAUUCAGUUAUGUUUAUGAUCGAACCUUAUGGCCUUUCAGUGCAUGUUUCCGCAUUAUUAUGUUAUCUUACGUAGUAUACAGGCACAAAUAUCAGUCAUAGGUUAGCUUGUGGUCCUUCGGGGUCACGAGCACCGUGUAUCCUUCCGGUUCAGGCUACACCUGUCCAAAUUGAAGUCCCAAAAGGACCAUCUAGUAAUAUCAUAGCUUCUGAAAUCCAAAUACAUUUGAAGUAUGGUAGACCAUUGGAUUCAAAGAAUAAAAAACCUAGAAAAAGAAAUACAAAAAAUGAUAAAUAUAUUAUUAUAUAAGACUCUCUUGAAGAGACUCAAAAUUUGAUUAAUCCUGAUGUUCCUGAACAAAUCAGUAAACUCGAGACUCAAGCAAAUGAAGAACUUUCAAUAAGUCCUAUUAGGGAUAAGGUAAAUUGAGAUCAAUUAAAAAUUAUGGUGGACAUUUUUGCAUAAAAUGUCACCUUAAAUAUCAUGCAAGACAAUGAGGACCUUGAACCUCUAUCUGUCGAUGAAUGUUGACAAAGAAAUGAUUGGCAAAACGGAAAGAGGCGGUUCAAUCAUAAUUAAACUCAUGUGCUAAACAAGACGUUUUUGGACCUGUAGUCCAAAGCCCAGAUGGUGUAAAACUAGUCAUCUAGAAAUGGGUCUUCAUACGUAAAUGAAAUGAUAAAAAUUAAAUUGUAAGAUACAAGCCAUUCCUUGUUGCACAAAGAUUAUCUCAAAGAUCUGGUGUCGACUAUAAAGAUAUAUAUUCGCCCGUUAUGGAUGCAAUAACAUUUCAAUACCUCAUCGAUCUAGUUGUAUAUGAAAAUAUUGAAAUUCAUCUAAUGGUUGUGGUUACAGUUUAUCUUUAAGGCUCACUUGUUAAUGAAAUUUAUAUGAGGAUCCCAGAAGGAUUAAAAAUGCUUGAAGUAUUUAGUUUAAAGUCUCGGGAAUUAUAUUCAAUCAAAUUAUAAAGAUCAUUAUACGAUCUAAAACAAUCAUGGUGUGUGUGGUAUAAUUGCCUUAGUGAGUACUUGAUAAAUAAAGGUACAUAAAUGAUUGGAUUUUUCCUUGUAUUUUUAUUAAGAAAAUGACAUCAUCAUUUGUUAUAAUCGUUGUUUAUGUUGAUGAUGUAAAUCUUAUUGGAACUCUAGAAGAGGUCCAAACUAAAAUUGAGUAUCUAAAGAAAGAAUUUGAGAUGAAAGAUCUUAGAAAGACAAAACUUUUUAUUGGUCUAUAGAUUGAACAUUUAGAAGAUGGGGUCUUCAUCCACCAAACUGCCUAUAACGAGAAGGUUUUGAAAUGAUUUUACAUGGAUAAAGUAUAUCCAUUAAGUACUCCAAUGGUUGUUCGAUCACUUGAGGUGAGUAAAGACUGCUCUGAACUCUAGAAGAGGGUAAAGAGAUUCUUACUCCUGAAGUACCAUAUCUCAAUAAUAUUAGUUCACUUAUGUAUCUUGCUAAUGCUACAAGGCCAUAUAUAGCAUUUUUGGUUAAUUUGCUAGCAAAGUAUAGCUCUUUCCAUACAUGAAGACACUAGAACGGAGUUAAGCAUAUAUUGAGAUAUCUAAGAGGGACUAUUUAUAUGGGUGUAUUUUAUACUAACAAGGCUGGUGCAGAUCUCGUUAGUCAUUUAGAUGCAAGUUAUUUUUCUGACCCAUAUAAAGCUUGGGCUCAAACAACCUAGUGUUUACAUAAAGAGGUACUGCUAUAUCAUGGCGCUCUACAAAAUAGUCUAUCGUUGUUACUUCUUCAAAUCAUGCUGAGAUAAUAGUUAUUCAUGAAGCAAGUAGAGAAUGCAUAUGAUUGAGAUUGAUGAUACAUUUCAUCAAAGAGAGGUGUGGCCAGAAGUUUUAUAUUAAGGUACCCAUAGUCCUAUUUGAAGACAAUGUAAGAUACAUAGCUUAAUUAAAUGAAGUCUUUAUAAGGGAUAUAGAACGAAGAACAAUUCACCAAAGUUAUUCUUCACACACAAUCUCCAGAAGAAUGAUGAUAUUGAUAUACAACAAAUCUGUUACAAUGACAAUCCGACAGAUUUAUUCACUAAACCUUUUCCAACUUUAACUCUUGAAAAGAUGGUACACAAGAUUGGAAUGCGAAGACUAAACCAUUUCAAUUAGGGUCUUCAUUAGGGGGAGUAAGAAUAUGUGUUGUACUUUUAUUCCCCUUAACCAAGGUUUAAUCCCAUUGGAUUUUCCUGGUAAGAUUUUUAAUGAGGGAAUAGUAAAAUGUAUAUUCAGUAAAUGUUUCUUUACAUGGAUAUCCAAGGGGGAGUGUUAUGAAACAUGGUAGAUGUCCAUGUGUCAAAAUAGAUGUCAUUUGUCUUCCCUAUAGUUAGGCUCAGAGCCAAUUCAUACUCCACCCCUUAGAAUUGGAUAAGUUUUCUUUUUUAACUUUUGGCUAUAAUAUAAAAAUACUACUCCUUCAUAUUUCUUUCAUUGCAUUGUUACCUUUUUGCUAAUUUCUUAAAUAAUUUUAUAUCAUAAAGCAAUUAAAACUAGAUAUUAACAAUGAUACCUAUCCACCUCUAGCCAUCAUCAACAAAAACUCCAAUCACCUAUUCAUAGUCGGUAUGACUGAUUUGGCCUCUGGUCUUUCUAAUUUGGUUUGCGUGAAGAAACUAUUAUAUCCUUAGAAAAUUUUCCUGAACUAUAUCACCCUAAGUUUCCUAAGAAACCUAUUUUACUUGUCGAGCCUAAUUAUUUGCCUAGUAUAAGUGAAGGAAAACGUGCAAUCAGUGUUAGUAAAGGUAAUAAUAUGAAGUACAUAGACUUGGUAAAUCCCAACCUACAAUAUGAAAGAAUUCAUCCCCAGAAACAAUCUCAAUGAAGCCAAUCACAUAUAAUAAUUGGAUCUCAAGUUUCACCUGGACAGAAGAGGAAGUUUUGAAGAUGAAUGCCAUUGAAGAUCUCCAAUGAUACAACCCGAACUGGGGCCUUGUCGUAAUUGACAUCUAAAGUCCAACCAGGACUGGGGACCACCCUAUUACCCAGCCCAACCUCCAAACACAUACCUUGGGUUGGAUGAAUUUUGAGCGUAUAACAAGAUAUUAUUUUUGUACAAUUCUAGACUCUGGGAUAGGUCCAUAACUGGGAUCAACCCAAGCAAGUCCAACCAUCCAAUACCCAACCAAUAACUAUACAAAAACAAAAAUAAUAACCAAAUACCAGUCCAUAACAUAAUAGGAUGGAACAAUCAUAAAUACAGUAAAACAGUAUCAUCCUCAAUACCAAUACUAUUACAAAGGCUGAUACUACUACCGAGACCACCCAUACCAACCCAUAGUAGUUCCAUAAAGCCUCUACCCAAAAGUAAAACAAUAUCCAAUUGGGACAUGCCCCCAACCAUAGCCAAAUCCAAUGUCUAUGAAAUAACUAAAGUAUGUAAAAAAAUUGAUGACAUGAAAUAGAGCCUUCCAGAAUAUGGAAGAUUGCCACUUUAAUCCAACUGAGCUGAUCCCAAAUUCGAUCACUAAGCAGGAAGAGUAGAAUGGUUGGUUCUUGCAUCGCAUGGGGAUACACACGCCUGAAGAUGGAUUAGUGGGUGAAUAUGCUGGCAUGCACUCAGGAUAAGGAUAAAAUACUAUCAACCUUUAAAGCUAAGUAAACUAACCAUAUGCAUUCACAACCAUACAUAUAUAUAACACCAUGCUGCGAAAGGGAAUCGGGUUUAACAUGCCUUUAAAACCAUUAACCUUGGUUUGUAUAGCUUAACCAUCCUAGAACCAUCCAUAUGCUAUAUGGGUCCAGUGUAACCCCCUGAAUUGGCCCAAUGCAUGUAGUCCCACGAACCGGAGAUACCAUAGGAGUAGGGUAUUCCCAAGUACCCUUCACUUUCAACGAUACAUAUGCACAAGUGUACUUAGGGAAUUUCCAUGUACCCUAUGAGUAUCAUAAUGGUCAUUAUGACCAAUCCUUAUGUCGGCAAAUAUGAGUUUCUAGUGUCUGUCCAUUGGACUCACACCUUUACGGUUAGCUAUCACACCCCGCUAUUAAUUCUCAAUUAAAACCAUUACCACACAACCAAACCACUAUUCCAUUUAUUAUUAACGAAAGCUAUAAGUAGUGGGAUCAUCAUACGGACUAUAGCUUGCAAGCAAUAUACUUAGCCAUCAUUUUAAGAAGAAGGGAUUCCCAUGUACCCAUAGAUUACAUUAUUAAUUUGACUUUGGGAAAUCCCAUGUAGACCACAAGUGUUCAUUAUUAUGCUUGCUUUGGAAUUUCCUUGUACCCUACAAGACUUUCAAUUAAACCAACCAUAACCACCAAGACCUUCUAUUAAACCAUUCCAAAUUAUUUAAACAAUUUAUACCAUUUAGGGUUUCAUUACCAAGUUAUACCAUGCACAGUUCAAUGAAAGUCCAACAAUUUAACCAAAACAAUUCUCAUAGGUAUUUUAUCUAACAUGUUGGAGGCAUGAUAUUUCCAAAGCCAAAACCAAGUAUUAAUUAACCAUUACCAUGAAACCAAAUGCUUAAACCAUUAUAAUAAUAUGAAAACCAUAAGUAAAAGACAUGGGAAAACCAUAACCAACCAUUGUAACCAAAACCCCCUAACAUAUAUUUGAAAACCUAAAACCAUACAACAUUUAUGUUGUGAAAACAAUUCAUAAAAUAUGAAUUUUGUUGGAAAUAACAAUGAGGGAGGAGUAACAUGCAUUAGAUUAUGAAGAUGACAGAGAGAAAUCACCCUUGUAAGCCCCAAAUUGAUCCCAUUGGUAAAACCCUAGCCUUCCUUGACCCAAGAGCCUUGAGAGAAUUUGAGAGUAUUUUAAGAGAGUUUAAGUGAUUGAAAAUAGGUUAAAUGAUGUCCCAAGAGGGUUAUAAGUCAUGGCGCCUUAACAGGUUAAGAGGGGAAAUGUCCAGAUUACCCCCAACUUAAACUGCUUAAAAUUCUCGCAGGAUGGUACGACCAACCCAUACCAACCGUACCCUACCAUAUGAGUGUUACCCACUACUAAUACCCUAGGCCUCCCCUUGGACUCCAACACUGUCCAACAUACAACCACCCAAGCAAAAUUCAUACCCAAGUAUACGAUUAGUACCCUUAACCCAUACCCAUAACAGCAUCAUGAGGGGUUGAACACUAUCCAAUAUAUGAGUUGGACUAUACAACUUAUACCCUAUCCUCAUGAAUCAUGUUUAUCCACUCGUACUUAGAUCCAAGUUAAGAUACUAAGUUUCAGAAUAAGACAAGGAAAACCCAAACCAAUGACCUAUUACCAAGCAUAUGACUCAUACCUAACUAGUCAUACAAAUUCUAGAAACUCAACCACCCAACACCAUCUAAUACUGGACAACAUACGACUGGGUCACCUUUUUCAUAACCCAUUAUAUGACUAGUACCCCAAAUCGUAUGAUGUCCAGAAGCCAAAACUCAAGAGAUUUUCUAAGGGUCAAAACCCAGGGUAUUUCAUCCACCUUGCAGUUAUUGGGAAAUUCUCUUAUGGCUGGAUGGAAUUGGAUGACCUCGGGAUUCAAAUACCUAAACAAUGCAAAAUCAAGGAGAUAAUAAGAUUGGUUUACUUAGAAAUAGACAUAUUCUUAUGAGAUUUAGUUAAAUAAAAGAUUUUGUCAAUAUGAUGUCAAAGAAUGUGUAUAACAUAACUACCAAGGAUAGUGUAGAUUAUUAAAUUAGGCCAUUCAAAUAUGAUGCCAAGUUCAAGCUAGGUGAAAAAAUAACACAAGCAAUGGCUUGGAUUUCCUCUUCAGGUUUACUCUCUACUUUCUCUGUGAAAAAAUUCUCUAUUUCCCUAGAUUUAGUUGUUAGAAAGAACAUAAAUUUAGAUUUGGCUAUGAUUAAUAAAGCUUGACCUAAUUUUGCAAGAGUCAAAGUUUAAGUUGAUUGGCAGCUAUGUUGCCUAAUUUUGUGAAGCUAGAUGGAGUGAAGAUCAACACUAAUGAGAUAGGGGUGUAGAAGGUGAAGUUUCAAUAUGUCACAAUUCCUAAAUAUUGCCAUACCUGCAAAUACAAAGUCAUCAUGAGUCGAGAUACAAAAGUUUACAUCCUAAAUUGAGAAGUCUGGUAGAGAAAGAUAAAGUAGAUAAUGAGGUGAAUAAUUGGGAGGAUAAUGAAAUAUUUGUGUAAAGAAGGUACAUUAAUGGGAAAAUGGUUCUAGCUAAGUAAAAACCCCCUAACAGGAAGUUCAAAUAGGAAAAAAGUACUAAUAGAUUAAUCAAUGAUGACAAGGUGGUGACAUCUCCAGGGAAAAAGAGUAAGGACUAAAAAUCCCUUUGAUUUAUUGUAAGAAAAAGGAAAAAAAGAAAAUCUAGUGAUUCCUAUGAAUAAUACUGAUUUGUCUAUAAAGGAAAAAGAGUUGUUAAAUGCAACUGAAUUCCAACAAAUUAAAGUAGGGGUUACACAUUAGAAAGGGUUAGAUAAGCAGGAAACCGUAAGAAAGUAAAAUGGAAAGAGGAAUGAAAACUAAGCAUAAAUGCAACAACCAGUACAAGUAAUGUAGCAUCACAAAAGUAAGAUGUAGUAACAACAUUUUCAGUGAACAAGGACAAGCUAAUUAAAAUAAGCAACAAAGAAAAUUAUCAGAAUAAUGAAAAAACAUAAAAUAAGAACAACAAGAUCCCAGUAGAUGAUAAGUCCAAAAUAUCACAAGAUAAUGUUUCCACCAAAGAAUGGAUAGCAAACUCUUUCUAUAAGGAACAAAGAUGAGGUACAUAAACUGUAACUAUUGAAGGGAAAGAAUAGGAUAUGAUAACUGAUGGGGUAGUAGACCAUGGAUGUGAUGAGUCACCUUUAAAAUAAUAGAGAUAGUAAGUGUGGAACAGGUGCUUGAUACCGAAAAAAUGUUGGUCAUAUAGAUAAUUUAUAGGAUUUUGAAUAUGAUAGGAUUGAGAAAAAGGGUGUAGGAAGUGUAGAUAAUCCACUAGCAGUAGUAGAGAUUCUAAUAGCUAUUUAAAUAGAUAAAUUCUUUGUAAUUCUUAGUGCUAUUAAGUCCCUCCCAAAAAAGCAUUACAUAAUGUCCUCACUCAUAAGGUUGGAAUAGAAGCAGUACCUGAUAAAAAAGGGAGAGGUAAAUCGCAUUAGAAUGGUACUAGGAGAUCAAAUACACAGAGAAGCAGAUAUAUCCCCAAGAUUAAUCAAGGAUUCUAAGGCCACUAGAAAAGGGAAAAACAAGGAAAUGGUGAUGCAUCUCAACCAGUAAGGGCACAACCAAAACCAAAGAGGUGGAUUAUCACACAAAUAUAUAAAUAAUUAACGCCAUUAUUUCAAAUAUUAGGUCAAUACUUAGGGUGUCCACGAGAAUAUUGAGGAAUGAGUUCCUAUUCACAUACUUGGGGUGUUCCAUUUUUUAUAUGAGAAAAAAAGGAUUCUUAUCAGAAUAUAAUGUACAAAAUAUGCUCCAAAUUACAAGGCUAGAAAGCAAAACUCCUAUCUUAUGGAGGGAGAGUCAUUUUAAUCAAGCAUGUAGUACAGAGCAUUCUCAUCCAUUGUUUAUCUGUAAUGAAUCCCCCUUGAAUGAUCUUAAUAAUAUCCAAAAGAUAUUUGCUCAAUUUUUAGGGAGCAGUUGUAUAGAGGCAAAGGGAAACACUGGACAAAGUGAAAAAAAUUAUGCUUACCUAAAGAAGAAGGAGGAUUAGAAUUCGGUUGAUACAAGAUAUUUCCAUUACACUCUUUAUACAAGUUAUGUUGGAAUUUCAUGACUAAACUAUUUGUAUGGAGUAGCUUGUAGUCCAAAAAUAUUGCGAAAGUGAUAACCCAAGCAUAGUAAUGUGGGAAACAAGAUUAGAAGGAUCACAAGUAUGGAAGAAAAUGUUGCAAGCUAGAGACCUAAUAGAGCAUCAAAUUCUUUGGCUAAUUGGGAAUGGAAAUGCUCAGUUUUGGUUUGACAACUGGACAAGAAUUAAAGCUUUGUAUAAUGAAAAUAAAAAGAGCAUGGAAUAGGAUGACAUAUAUCAGCAUGUAAGGGAACUGGUAAAUGAAGAAGGAUAGAGUUAACAGUUUAUCAAUGAACUAUUUCUAGAAGAGAUAGCGAACCAUAUUCUGGAAAAUAUUAGACCCCAUAUCAAUUCAAUAAGCAAUGAUAGGUCAAUAUGGAUGCUUGAAUCAAAUUAAAAGUUCAUAGUAACAUUUUCUUGGUAAUAUAUGUCAUAACCCAAUUCCUUAGGUCAUGAUGGCGCCUACAAUAACCCAGCAGUAGUCAAGCCAAACCCAUAGUCCAAAAAGCCUAGCAACGGACUACUCAGAUAGAUAUUGAAAGAAAUAUGGAAAGAGAUGAAAUAAUAGAUCAAAUACAUAACAAAGUCCCAAAACCUGGUGGUAUCAGUACAAAAGAUUCUACAUAAUAAGAUUUCAAAGUAAAGUACAAAUGAAUACACUGAUAUAACUUAUCUCCAAAUACAAUAUAAAGACUAGUCUACUACAUAUGAGAGAGGUAAGUAAUACUCUGAACUUCAGGAGCUCACUCUAAGUCUCUAAACCAUAGAUGCUCUGUACGACGCACACCUUAAUAGUGAUAACCCAUAUAAUAAUCUGGAGGCUGCAGAAGUAUAGUAUGAGUACCAAACAUGUGGUACUCAGUAGGCAACUACUAACUGAGCUUCAAAUAUAAGGUAGAUAUAUAUAACAUAUAAACAGAAUGGAAAACUACACCAAACUGUCAAACAACCAUAUAAGAAAACUAGUGAGAUAAUAAGGAUAAACUAUCUUAUUCAUGUCCACAAGACUAUCAUAUUAAGGCAAAAAAAGUAGUAAGAAUACAAUAUCUUAUUCCAGCCAUAUUUAGGAAUCCAAAUUCAAUACCGUAUAUCACUCACCAAUACACAAAGUAAAGGUGAAAGGAAGAUAUAUAGAGGUAUACAAUACCAAGGAAUAAAUAUACAAUCUAAAUUAAUAAAAAGGAGGGAUAUAAGGUAACGUCCAGAUACAUAUAACUAGGUAUGCAUAUAUAUAAGUAUAUAACCAAGGUCUACUCGAAGUACAGCCUAGAUCAUCAGACUAGCUAUAAAAGACCUCAUAAUUAUAGCAGGAGCUAGUGCUAAAAUUCUCAGAGUUCUAAUCCAUAUAUCAAGUCAUCAUUUGGUCAUGCACAGUAAUAUAAUUAUAAGAGAAUGAGGUUAAAAUCAUACUUCAUGUCUAGAAAUCGAAUCAAUGACCAAUCUAUCAUAAACCAGCCAUAGCAAUGAUAAUAACAAUGACAAUAACAAUGCGAGUAAUCAGCUAUUUUGGACAGCCAAAUACCUAGUCAAUCCUAUGCAUACCACCAAUGCCCCAGGAUUGGAAGGCUCAAUCAACAUACAACAACAAAGGGCAUAGUCAUCACCAAUAUCUGUGCAACUGUCUUACAUCGACUGAUAGACAUAGGCAUACUAGUGAUAGGCGAUGCAUAUACAAGAAUGACUGCAAGGUACACAACCAAUAUAAUCAUCCUCCAGCCUUGUCGAGCAUCAUUAAAUCAUCAAAAUAUCCUCCCUUGUAGAGCAUCAUUAAAUCAUCAAAAUAUCCUCCAGCCUUGUCAGGCAUCAUCACAUUAUCAUAAUAUCCUCUGGCCUAGAAGAGCACUAUUAUAUCAUCAUAAUAUCCUCCAUCCUUGUCGGGCAUCAUCAUAUUAUCAUAAUAUGCUCUGACCUUGUCGAGCAUUAUCACAUUAUUAUAAUAUCCUUUGGCCUUGCCAGGCUGUCAUGACCUAAACCAGGGCCUGGAUGUGAUGGGUAUCUAAUGCCCAUAGAGGUCUGGAGACCACUCGCUUUUUUCCUAACCAUACAGAACAUAACACACCUAACAGUGGUUUAAAUCUGAACAUAUAAUAAGAUAAAAAGAUGGUAAAAUCAAGGAUGACUAUGAGUGACAACAUCAAUAUACAAUCCACAGUAAUAUCCUUGAAGCCUCUACUAAUUGGAAAACCAUCGAACAUUUGGACAUGCCUCUGACUCUUACAAUGAAAAUGACAAUGAUAAUGAAAUUAUUAAUGUGAACUCUUCGAUUCUAAUUUAUAAAAGAAAACUGAUGAAAUGACCAAGUCUUUUGGAUAAUGGAAGAUCACCACUUCACCACCAAUGACCGAUAAGCCAAACUAAUCCACCUAACACUGUAUAGGAAAAAUAAAAGUAUCUCCGGUUCCUCAUUACGUAGGGAUACAAUGUUCGGAGAUGGUUAGUGGGUUAAGCACUAGCAUGUAAUUCAAGGAUAGGGGUAAAAUAAUGCCAAGUCAAAUCCAAUUCAAAUUCUUCUUAACAUCAUCAUAUACAUGCAUAAGUAAUAUGACGGGAUAGGGAAAAAGACUUUGCAUAAUGUAAAAUAUUAUCCUGGACUAUGUAGCUUAACCUUCAUAAAAGGCACACACGACCUAUAUGGGUUCAUCUUCCCCUGCUUAAAGGGCCUUGGUGCGUGUUAGCCAUACGAACCAAAGGUAUUAAAAAGACCAUGGAAUGCCCCAACCCUAUGCCAAUCCAAGAUAUAAAUAUAUCCAUAGUGUGAACCAUGAACACAGUUCAGCAAGACCAAACCUCAUGUCGGCAAACAUGAGUUUCCAAUAUAAGUCAUUCAAGACCCACACCUUCAUGGCUUCGCUACAUAACCUCUAUUAAGCCCAAUAUAAAGCAAGUUUCACAUAACCCAUUUGUUAACCAAAGAACCAAUAAUUAAGGCGUACCAUAGGUAUCGUCAUACCCUUAUACAUACAUGCUUAUGUCUAUGUCAUAACAAUCAUAUUAACUUAGGGGAAUGCCUCGACCCCAUUUGUUUAUUAAAUCAAACAUAGCCGAAAAUGCCUUCAAAAGCUAUGUCCAUUUUUUAACUAUUUAUGCGAUGCAAUAACAUAAGUGAGUAAGCCAAAAACAAGUGACAAUUUCACAAUUCAAAGCUAUUUACACAAGUGGGUCAAGGGAAUACAAUUAUUCAAAACCAAUUCCAUUUUCAAAACAAUGAUUUGGUGGAAUACCACAAACCCCAUUCCAAUUCCAAUACACAUGAACCCCAUUAGUUCAAAACAUCAAUUUCAAAGAAUGAACAAUUCAUAAAAACCAUGGGAAAAUAAUCCAAGGACCAAUCCUUCAAAAACGCUCAACCACAUCAAAACCCACAUUCAAAACAAUUAAAUUAAACCAUGUAAAACAAAUGCUUUUCAUAAAAUAAGAAUUGGGGAAGAGUAACAUGCCUGGAAUACAAAGAUUUUUGGAGAAAAAUCAACCCUUGAUCCCUUAGAUGGCCAACUUCUUAGAAACCCUAAGUAUCUUGACCUUGGGGAAUUUAGAGAGUUUCCGAGUGUUUUGAUUGUUUUAUGGAUAAGAAAUAACCCCUUUGAGUGAUUUAUGGACGUGGGGUCUAAGUAAGGCGACACCCCCAAAUUACAAUUUUCUUUUAAAAGUGUAGGAGGUCAAAUAUAUAGACCAAUUAGGUUUAGGUCGAAUCCCUCAAGGAAUAUGGUGUUGAUUAAGAUGAUUUGUGAUUUAACUGAGUAAUAGCCAACCGUUUCCUUUAAAUGGGGGGUUUGAUCAUAACGAUUUAUAGUUAAUGUUUUGAUAUUGCUCAGAAAAUUAAAGUUAAUUUUAUGAAAUUUCAAAUUAGUAAUGAAUUCGAACUAGAGUUGUGAUCACUAUGAUUAAUAUCAAUGUAAAUUAGUAGUCAAGAAAUAUGAUUCUCUUGACUUAUGGGAACACCAAAUUAUCAACGUCUGCAAUUUAUCUAAGUGUUUUUCCACCUACGUAGAAUUAAGUUCCUUAAUUUUUUCAAACUUAGAGAAACUUACCAUUCUUGUUGAUUUUAUUUUGAGUUUAUUAAUCUUGUUAAAGCAUUAACCAUUAGAUGGAAAAUUUUCUUUCCAUAUCCUCGAUUGUAAUUUUCUACCUAUAGUUUCUUUCUUAUUUUAAGCAGACAAAUCUAAGGCAUGUUUCAUUGUUUGCAACCAAUAGAAAACAAUUAGUAAAAAUAGAAUUACCAAGAUGACUCCCACAACCAUUCAAAUCCAUCACAAACUACCAAUAAAAAAUGUAUAAACUAUAGCUUCCACAACUCUAGUUAUGGGGUUUAGUUCCUCAUGGAUUUAAGAAAGAUUUUGCAAGAAGAAUUCAUAAUUUAUAUGAAAGAGUUAUGCUUACAAAAAAUGAAUCAAAUGUUGUUCUCCUUCAAAGAUUCACCAAAUUUCCCCAAAAACUUGAUUAAAAGAUGAAUUUAGAACUUCAAUGCCAAAACAUAAACUAACAUUUUUGGAAGAUGAUCUUAGCUACCAAGGAAAACCUAAAAGAUACUAUUUAUAUCCUUAUAAUUCAAAAUACAAAACUUUCACACACUUAGGCUGACGACAAGGCUGAUCACCUAUCAGUUAGCUGAUGAUGAGGUUGAUUACUUAUCACUUAGCUGACAACAAGACUGAUGGCUUAUCACUUGGCUGAUGACUUGUUAAGAUAAUUGUCACUUGAGUCUUUAUACACUGUUUUAGGAUGACGACAAAAGGUGAUGGCUCAUCACAUCUAGUCACCAAAAUACUUUUUAUUCUUUUUUCUUUGGUGUCAUCAAAUCUUAAUUUUUCUACAUAAAUAAACAAAAUACAAUAAAUAAAACCAAGUUUCUUAAGAACUCACAAUUAUUCCAAGUUAAAAGCCUCAAAUAUGUUGUCAAAAGGCUAGCACAUCAAUACCCUCAACUUAAACACUUGUUUGUCCUCAAGCAACUAUAUAAUAUAGUACUAUGUACACAACCGAGCAUCAAUUAAUAGAAUAGCAUUUCUAUUUUCAAUUCAAACCCAUUUGGAAGAAUGUACUCCUUUUCCCAAGUGGUAACAAGAUUCCAUGAUUAUCUUCAAAGUUUAGCCAAGAAAAAUAAUACCUACACUUAGGGUAUUUAACCAAAUAUUCAGCAAUAACAAGUACCAUUCUUAUGACCUCACUAAAAGAAAGAAGUUCCUUGCACCAAAUGUUACUUUUAGUUUUGAGGAACUGGGAAUCAAAGCUCUCACCCUCACAAACAAGUUUCGAAUUGUGCACCUACGAUGCCAUAGACUUUCCCUUAGCUUUCUGUUUGGGUGAUCUAAUAGUUAAACUAAGGUCACUACAGGACUUUCUUAGCUUGUAUUGAAGGCUUAAGUCUUGGAAAAAUAAAUUUGGGAUUCUUAACUUAGCCUUGCCCCCCUUGUGUUUGCAAACUUAGCUACUUUCUUAUUUAUUUAUUUUGUUCCUUUAUUUGCCUUGCAUAGUGGAACAGUUUUCAUAAGUUGGUUCUAUUCUCUAGCACUUUGUCACAAUUUUAUUUAUUUUUUUACAACUAUUUUCACACCCUCUUUCAAUCAUUUACUCCUCUACCAUAGACAUCAUCAACUUAUGUAAUUUGCCUUAGUUGAUGUGUAUGAUAUCCAAAGGAAGGAAUGUGGACAAAAUAAAGUUUCAACUGUGAAAAUAUGGAAAAAUGGUUAGGUUGUGAAACAAAGAGAAAUAUAAUAGAUCAAAUAGGGAUAAAAAAGAUUUACUAAAAAUCUUUUGGUUUGUUCAUUUGACUAAGUAGACUACCUAUCAAAAAUGACUUGUGCUCAUUUCUUAGAUACCUACUUGCAACCUAACAGAAUGACCUGGGUAAGUUCUGGAUGGAUGUACACAAUAAGAAAGUAGUACAAAGACUUCACACACUCAUGGCAUAGAAUCGCAAUGUCAUAACUGACCAUUCAAUUAAUAUUCAACUUUAAGCAGAGGUUGCCAUAUUUGUAUACUUGCAUACUUGCAUAGACAUAUAUGGUUUUCCCAUGUACCACUUAAGCAUCAAUCUCACACGACAAAAUAGAUUUUGAUGGGUCCAAAAUUUCAAAACAUGGAAAAGAACAUUUUCUAUUCAUUAAUGUCCACUUUUUUUCAUUCAUAAUACACAAACCAUAAGCAAAACAUAAUUAAAACUAUCCUAAAACUCCUAAACAUAUCGCUUCUCUAGAUAGUACACAAUGGAAUAGAACAUAGCUAAUAAACCAUUAAGGUUUCAAGUACCCCCCACCCCCACAAUAAAAACAACGCAUUUUCCUCAAUGCAUUAUUGCUGAAAUUAAAGAACAUGGGUGAGGACAAAACUGCAGUGCCCUAGGCACUUGUGUCAUGCGACACAGAGUGUGCAGUUGUAUCAACAGUACUAGGAAAAUCAAUAAUAGAACCAGGUUCCACUAAUGCAUUCACAAUAGUGGUUGGUGGAGUAGAGUAAUCCCCAACAGUAUCAAUAGUACCCACUUCUUUGGGUGGUCCACUUGCGGAGGCUUCUACAGCUCUAGCCCAUAAUGAUUCUUCUUUUGGUUCAUCUUCUUCUUUCAAUUUCUUCAUUGAUUCUUUCAACUCUUUUUUUUUUAUUCUUUUAAAUCCUUUUCUUCUCUUAACUCCCCAUUUUUUGCCUUUUUCUUUUGAAACAACUGGUUUCCUAGUGAUAUCAUACAACACCUCUUCCUCUUUUUUUGAUUCCACAUCAACUAGGACUGAUACUUUUAAUGUUUUCCACUUUUGUAGAGCUAUAAUAUAUUCUCUUGAUCUUUCCAAUACUAUCUCAAAUUGAGCAAUAUCAGGAACAGUCACUUUGCUUAAUCUUUUAUUAACUAGAUGUUCCAUAUCAUCAAUAUGCCCAUGAAGAUUUGCAUAAGGUGCCAUGGCUUCUUUGAUUUUUCUAUCAACAAAUGGCUUAAAUUAUUUUGCCAACAACUUUAAUUGAGCAUCAAAUCUCUUUCCUUAUUUCACUAUCUUAUUUAAAAUUUUAAGGGGUGAGAGCAUACUCAAAAAUAGAAGUUGUGAUUAUUGUUGGUUCUUCCAUCACGAGUAUAGGCACUGUACCUGCAGAUGAAGUAGUAUUACCUAAUAAAUCUAUUUCAUACGUCAGAUAUCCGCACCCCCCUACAAAUGGUAUCAGAGCCCAGUAAUUCAAAAAAUAUGGAAGUGAGAUAUAUGUUAGAGUUAUUAGAAUUUACCUAUAAAUUAUUAAAUUAAUUAUGCGAAGACCAUUUAAAAAUAGAAAAGCUUUUAGAAAAAUUAAAGAAUCUUUAAUUAGUAAUUAUUCAGAAUAUAUAAGUUUAAAUAAAACAAAAGAAAACCCACAAAGAUUAGCCUACUUAAUUACAUUAAUAUCUGGUAUUGAAUCAAAAUUAAUAAUCCAUUUAAAAUCUAGAAGAAUGAAACACAUACUACCUAAUUAUGAUAAAAUUAGAUUUAGAUAUCCGCCAAGAUAUUAUAAAUAUAAUUUAAAAUGAAUAAAGUACAACAAUACAAAGAAUUAAAAUAAAUUAUUUCUGAAAAACGUAAAGAAUUAAAAAUAAGAAUAAAAAGACUACAUUAUAAUAUAUUUGCCGGAGUUAGCAAAAAUUCAAUAAAUACACAAAAAGAUGAAAUAAAUUAACAGCAAUGGUAAGAAUAGAAAAAGAAAAUGAAGAGAUAGAUAGGAAAAAAGAAAUAGAAAAAAUAAAACAACAAACUACGGAAGAAAUACGAAAAAUAGAAGAAACCAAAAAUAGUAGAAUUGCUGAAUUAGAAAAAGAAUUACAAAUGUUAAAAGAACUGUAUGAACAAAGACAAAAAGAAAAAGAAGAAAAAGAUAGAGAACAGAAAUUACUAAAUGAGAUAAAUCAAUUUAAGGAAAAAUUAGAAAUAAAAAAUGAAGAAUUAGAAAUAAAUAAUAUAGAUAUUGAAGAGACAGAUAAUUAUGAGUCCGAAGAUAGUGAAACAUACACAGAAAUAUUAACAAAUACAAAAAAUUUAGAAAUCAAUGAAGAACAAAAAAUUUAUGAGGAAAACUUAGAAAAUACCCACACAGAAAUAAAUACUCUUGAUAAAAAAGAAAAUGAAAAUAUAAUACCUAAAACAACAGAAAUAAGAAAACCUAUAUAUUAUAAGAAUAAGUUUAAAAAAUAUAAUGAAUAUGAUAAAUGGAUACCAAAACAAAUAGUGAAUAAAAAUUAUAACUUUUUAGAUCUAGACUGUGUAAUAGAUACAGAAAAAACAAUACAAUUAUGGAUAGGAUAUAUGACAAAACAAUUAUUAGAUAAUAAUAUAAAUAUAACAGAUGCACCGGAAUAUAUAGAAAAAACACUAAUAGGAUCAGUAAAACUAUGGUUUGCAAAUCUAACCGAAAAUAGCAAAAAAGUAUUAAGAACUAAUAAACCUAUAGAAGGAACAUCAUCGACAACAACUAAACUAACACCUAUAGAAUUAUUAAAAAAAUAUGAAACAGCUAUAAAAGAUGAAUUUGGUAGUACGACAACAAUCGAAGAAGAACAAAAUGAAGAAAAAGAUACAAAUAGAAAUUUAAUGUUAAAAUUAGCAAUAUGUAAUAUGUGUUAUAUAGAUGAAUAUACUUGCGCAUUUAAAGAAUAUUAUUACAAAGGAGCAUAUAGUAUAGAAGAAAGUAAAGAAAUAAGAAAAUUAUAUUUUAAUAAAUUACCCGAGCCAUUUAGUUCGAAAAUAAUAAAAAGUUGGGAAGAAGCAAAAAUAGUAGAUACGUUAGGAGCAAGAAUAAAAUAUUUACAACAAUGGUAUAGAAACUUAUGUGAAAAAUAUAGAGAAGAAUUAAAAAUGGAAAAAACAUUAAUAAGAAAUUUAGCUUGUUGCAAAAAUAAAAUAGCACCCCAAUUUGGAUGCGAAGAAAGAUAUUAUAAGAAAAGAAAAAGACAUAAGAAAUAUAAGAAAUAUAAAAAAUCAAAAUAUAAAUAUAAAAAACCAAGAAAAAGAUACUAUGUAAAAAAUUAUAAACAUAAAAGACCAUAUAGAAAAAAGAAAUCUAUAAAAGAAUGUACUUGUUAUAAUUGUGGAAAGUUAGGACAUUUAGCUAGAGAUUGUAAAUUACCUAAAAAUCCAAAAAAUAAACAAAUAUCAGAAAUAAAAAUAGAAAAUACCGAAUACAUGCAGAUAGAUUAUAUAGAUUAUGAAUUAGAAAGUGAAGAUAGUAUAUAUGAAAUUUCAGAAAACGAAACAGAUAAUGAAAUAGAUAGCGAAAUAGAUGAAUCAAAUGACUGAAGAAGAUAUAAAAAUAAUAACAAAGGAAGAAUAUUUAAAUGAUGAAGGAACGGAACAAAAAAUAAUAUUUGACAGUAAUAUAUUUGAUGAAAUAAAAGGAAAAGAAUUAGAUUUAAGUGUAGACAAAAUAUUUAAAAUACCAACAAUAAAAAAUAUUUUUACUAGGAAAAAAGAUGAAUAUUAUGUAGUAUGCCAAAAAGAACAUGUAAUAGAUUGCAGAUAUGCAAAAGGAAAAGCUAGUAUACCACUGGUAACAAAAAGAAUAAUUAAUAAAGAAAUAAAUGAUAUAAAAAGUAAAGGAGAUCCAAUAAAAUAUGUACACCUUGGAGGUACAGAGAUAUUAAUAAAAGCAUGUUUUAGAGAAGGAAUAGAUACACCAAUAGAAUUAUAUUUAGCAGACGAUAGAAUUAUAAAACCUAUAGAAAAAAGCAUAAUAACUGCCGUAAAAGGAAAUCUAAUAUACCAAAAAUUUAAAUUUAUAAUAAGUGCAAAUUAUUCAGUAGCAGUAACAGAUAGGAAUAUAGAUAAAUCAUUAGUAUUAUAUUGGAAAAUAUCAGGAAUAGAAUUAACCCCAGGAAGUAAAAUAUUUACAGCAAGAUGUAAAAAUCUAUAUGUAUUAACAACAAAACAUAAAAUAACAGGAAAAAAUAAGAUUAACAAAAUACAAAUAGAAAGCCCAUUCGAACAAAUAGUAAAAACAAUAGAUUAUAAUGAUUAUACCUAUAGAGACAUAGAUACAGAAGAAAAUUUAGAAAUAGUAAAUGAUAGAAUAAGUACAACGAAAAGAAUAGCUAAUGAAAAGCCAGAAUCAUCAAGCUCAUCAAAAAGAACAAGUUAUGAAACAAACUCAAUAAGUAAUUUAAACCAAUAUUACAUAACAGGAAAAAUAAAUGAAAAAGAAUAUUUAAUACUUUUGAAUACAGGACAAGAAGAAAAUUAUAUAGCAAAAUAUCUAGUAAAAAAUGAAGAAAUAAAAACCGACAAUAAUAUAUGCCCAGACUUACCAAGAAGUUUAAUAAAUAAUAAAAAUCUAGCAGAAAAAGAAAUAAUAUUAGGAGUUAGAAAAAUAAAAAUAGAAUUCGAAGUAAAAGAAGAAAUGCAAAAAGCAGAUAUAAUAUUAGGAAUAAAAUGGUUGGAACAAGUAAAACCAUAUAAUAUAGAACAUACACAAUUAACCUUAACAUAUAACCAAGAAAAGUUAUUCUUAAAAAGAGCCUUAACAUGAAAUGAAGAUACAUGUAUUAAUGAAGAUAGUAGUAGAAGGAUAUUACAGUAGAUAUUAUACGCCUAUGAUAGAUACAGGAGCAGAAGCUAAUUUAUGUAGAUAUAAUUGCUUACCAGAAAGCAAAUGGGAUAAACUAAAAACACCAAUAAUAGUUAAAGGAUUUAAUAAUGAAGGAAGCUUAAUUACUUAUAAAGCUAGGAAUGUAAAAAUACAAGUAUGGGAUAAGAUAUUAACAAUAGAAGAAAUUUAUAAUUAUGAAUUAACAUCAAAAGAUAUACUUUUAGGAAUGCCAUUUUUAGAUAAAUUAUACCCACAUAUAAUAACUAAAACAGACUGGUGGUUUACAACACCAUGCAAACAAAAAGUAAGAGCAAAAAGAGUUAAUAAUAAAAUAAGAAAGAAAACUGAUUGGAUAAAAGGAAGUGAAAAAAUUACACAAAAGUUAGAAAAUAUAAACAAUACUGAAGAUACAGUAGAACUAGUAGUAUUUUCGAUAAAUAAAACAGAAAUAACUAUAUUUUCAAUAAAUAAAAUAGAAAUAAUUCAGAAAAAAUUAGAACAAUUAUAUAGUGAAGAUCCAUUAAAAGGAUGGGAAAAACACAAAACUACUAUAAAAAUUGAAUUAAUAGAUAAGAAUAGCAUAAUAACACAAAAACCAUUAACAUAUAAUUUUGAUGAUUUAAAAGAAUUUAAAAUGCACAUAGAUGAAUUAUUAGAAAAACAAUAUAUACAAAAAAGUAAUAGUAAACAUAAUAGUCCAGCAUUUAUAGUAAAUAAACAUAGUGAACAAAAAAGAGGAAAAAGUAGGAUGGUAAUUGACUAUAGAAAUUUAAAUGCAAAAACUAUAACAUAUAAUUAUCCAAUACCAAAUAAGAUAUUAAAAAUAACGCAGAUACAAGGAUAUAAUUAUUUUAUUAAAUUCGAUUGUAAAUCAGAAUUUUACCACCUAAAGCUAGAAGAAGAAUCUAAAGAAUUAACCGCAUAUAUGGUACCACAAGGAUUUUAUGAAUGGAACGUAUUACCAUUUGGAUAUAAAAAUGCACUAGGUAGAUAUCAACAUUUU